AGAGUGAACGCUGGCGGUAGGCCUAACACAUGCAAGUCGAACGGCAGCACAGUGGUAGCAAUACCAUGGGUGGCGAGUGGCGGACGGGUGAGGAAUACAUCGGAAUCUACCUUUUCGUGGGGGAUAACGUAGGGAAACUUACGCUAAUACCGCAUACGCCCUUUGGGGGAAAGCCGGGGAUCGCAAGACCUGGCGCGGAUAGAUGAGCCGAUGUCGGAUUAGCUAGUUGGUGAGGUAAUGGCUCACCAAGGCGACGAUCCGUAGCUGGUCUGAGAGGAUGAUCAGCCACACUGGAACUGAGACACGGUCCAGACUCCUA
rnacentral:rRNA from 1 species